AGUCCAUGGUGCGAGCCACAUUGGAGCAAGCCUUUGUACCUCUCCCAAGUAUCAUACAUGCUCUCGUCAUCGAACUGCACAAAUGAAGAUAUGGCAUUUCUCAAUCU
rfam:Ricinus communis cultivar Hale ctg_1100012358785, whole genome shotgun sequence.